rnacentral:rRNA from 1 species
AUUGAACGCUGGCGGCAGGCCUAACACAUGCAAGUCGAGCGGAUGAAGGGAGCUUGCUCCUGGAUUCAGCAGCGGACGGGUGAGUAAUGCCUAGGAAUCUGCCUGGUAGUGGGGGAUAACGUCCGGAAACGGGCGCUAAUACCGCAUACGUCCUGAGGGAGAAAGUGGGGGAUCUUCGGACCUCACGCUAUCAGAUGAGCCUAGGUCGGAUUAGCUAGUUGGUGGGGUAAAGGCCUACCAAGGCGACGAUCCGUAACUGGUCUGAGAGGAUGAUCAGUCACACUGGAACUGAGACACGGUCCAGACUCCUACGGGAGGCAGCAGUGGGGAAUAUUGGACAAUGGGCGAAGGCCUGAUCCAGCCAUGCCGCGUGUGUGAAGAAGGUCUUCGGAUUGUAAAGCACUUUAAGUUGGGAGGAAGGGCAGUAAGUUAAUACCUUGCUGUUUUGACGUUACCAACAGAAUAAGCACCGGCUAACUUCGUG